UACAGGGGGUGCAAACGUUGCUCGGAAUUACUGGGCGUAAAGGGCGCGUAGGCGGUCAGCACAAGUCAGUUGUGAAAUCUCCGGGCUUAACCCGGAGCGGUCAAGUGAUACUGUCGUGCUAGAGUGCGGAAGGGGCUACUGGAAUUCUCGGUGUAAGCGGUGAAAUGCGUAGAUAUCAGGAGGAACACCAAUGGGCGAAGGCAGCUCGCUGGGACGGUACUGACG
rnacentral:rRNA from 1 species